rnacentral:rRNA from 1 species
GGCGGACGGGUGAGUAAUGCUUGGGAACUUGCCUUUGCGAGGGGGAUAACAGUUGGAAACGACUGCUAAUACCGCAUAAUGUCUACGGACCAAAGGGGGCUUUUAGCUCUCGCGUGAAGAGAGGCCCAAGUGAGAUUAGCUAGUUGGUGAGGUAAAGGCUCACCAAGGCGACGAUCUCUAGCUGUUCUGAGAGGAAGAUCAGCCACACUGGGACUGAGACACGGCCCAGACUCCUACGGGAGGCAGCAGUGGGGAAUAUUGCACAAUGGGGGGAACCCUGAUGCAGCCAUGCCGCGUGUGUGAAGAAGGCCUUCGGGUUGUAAAGCACUUUCAGACGUGAGGAAGGGUUGAUGGUUAAUACCCGUCAACAUUGACGUUAGCGUCAGAAGAAGCACCGGCUAACUCCGUGCCAGCAGCCGCGGUAAUACGGAGGGUGCGAGCGUUAAUCGGAAUUACUGGGCGUAAAGCGCACGCAGGCGGUUUGUUAAGCUAGAUGUGAAAGCCCCGGGCUCAACCUGGGAUGGUCAUUUAGAACUGGCAGACUAGAGUCUUGGAGAGGGGAGUGGAAUUCCAGGUGUAGCGGUGAAAUGCGUAGAGAUCUGGAGGAACAUCAGUGGCGAAGGCGACUCCCUGGCCAAAGACUGACGCUCAUGUGCGAAAGUGUGGGUAGCGAACAGGAUUAGAUACCCUGGGUAGUCCACACCGUAAACGCUGUCUACUAGCUGUGUGUUGUAUUUUUAUACGUGCGUAGCGAAGCUAACGCGCU